rnacentral:rRNA from 1 species
GAUGAACGCUGGCGGCGUGCCUAAUACAUGCAAGUCGAGCGAACAGGUGAGGAGCUUGCUCCUCUCACGUUAGCGGCGGACGGGUGAGUAACACGUGGAUAACCUACCUAUAAGACUGGGAUCACUUCGGGACACCGGAGCUAAUACCAGAUAAUAUAUUGCACCGUGUGGUUCAAUAGUGAAAUACGGUGUUGCUGUAUCUUCUAGAUGGAUACGGGCCGCAUUAGCUAGUUGGUAAGGUAAAGGCUUAUCACGGCGACGAUGCGUGUACGAACUGACAGGGGGAUCGGCCACAUUGGAAGUGAGACGCGGACCAGGGUCCUACGGGAGGCAGCAGAAGGGAAUCGGCGGCAAUGGGCGAAAGCCUUACGGAGCAAGGCGGCGCCAGUUAUAACGGCCUUGGGUGCGUAAAACCCUGUUAUGAGGGAAGAACAACUGUGUAAGGAAACAUGGCCGGAUUGACGGUAAUUAAUAAGAAAGCAACGGCUAACUACGUG